GACGAACGCUGGCGGCGUGCCUAAUACAUGCAAGUAGAACGCUGAAGGAAGGAGCUUGCUCUUUCUGGAUGAGUUGCGCACGGGUGAGUAACGCGUAGGUAACCUGCCUGGUAGCGGGGGAUAACUAUUGGAAACGAUAGCUAAUACCGCAUAAAAUUGAUUAUUGCAUGAUGGUCAAUUAAAAGGUGCAACUGCACCACUACCAGAUGGACCUGCGUUGUAUUAGCUAGUUGGUGGGGUAACGGCUCACCAAGGCGACGAUACAUAGCCGACCUGAGAGGGUGGUCGGCCACACUGGGACUGAGACACGGCCCAGACUGCUACGGGAGGCAGCAGUAGGGAUUCUUGGGGAAUGGACGGAAGUCUGACCGAGCAACGCGGCGGGAGGGAAGAAGGUUGUCGGAUCGUAAAGCUCGGUUGUAAGAGAAGAACGAGUGUGAGAGUGGAAAGUUCACACUGUGACGGUAUCUUACCAGAAAGGGACGGCUAACUACGUG
rnacentral:rRNA from 1 species